UAAGCAUAACUUAACUGUGAUAAUAUUUUGUUACAGAGGCGGAGGUAUGUGUGGACAGUGGCCCCCCCCAAGUUUUUUUUUAAUUUUUUUUAAUGUAUGUGAAAAUACAAAAAUACCCUUUAUGAAAUUAAAUAUUUACAACCUUGCCACUCAACCCUAAAAUUCUCUUCUUCUCCCAUAUUACGGCAAUUUCCCCUCUUUCUCACUUUUUUGAUUAAAAACAUAAACUCUCUCCCUCUUUCUCUCCUUUUACUACUCUUCCAUUGCUUGUCUUACAUAUUUGUUCUUUUUUCUCCAGCUCUUGAGAUUGAGGAUUAGAGGCCAUUUCAAAUGCUGUAGCUACGAUUAGAGCCACCGCCACCGACAAGAAAAGUCCAAGAGAGGCUAUUGAAUUUGUUUUACAGCUAUUAAAGGACAAGAUUGAUGAUGAAGAGUAGAAAAAUUGAUUCUUUUUUCAAGAGGAAAGAAAGAGAUGAAGAAAAUAAUGCUUCUAUAUCAGAACCUCAAACAGUUUUAGAGAAUCCAAGAACUGAAGAAAAUGUGAAUAGAGUUUACCCGGAUCCGGAUGACAUUGAGAAUUCUUUAGAACGUGAUCCUGGAAAACGUCCUUCAAUGUGGGAAUAUCCACUAAACCAAAUGGAUGAAAUACGGAGAGCUUAUUUGAAAUGGGGUCCAUAUCAAAUUCAAUUAGAGCAAUAUCCAUUGUCUGGUAAAGAAGACCAUAAAAGAAGAUUUCAAUAUGCUUGGUUUAGCAUUUUUCCUUCAUGGUUAGAAUAUUCACCUUCAGAAGAUGCGUCUUAUUGUUUACCAUGCUAUCUUUUUAGCAAAAGACCAAGUGAGAAUUAAUUUGCAAUUUCAACUUCGACAUUUUAUUAUUGACGCUCGUCAAGCAACGAGUUUGAAGAAUUUAUCAACUAUUCAAGACUUGUGUUCCUCUAUGGUUGCAACUAGAAAGAAUGAAAUUUACUAUUUGAUUGAUAGAUUGGUCCGCCUUGUCAUGACUCUUCCUGUAUCUACGGCCACUACUGAAAGAUCUUUUUCGGCAAUGAAAAUUAUCAAGACAAGAUUGAGAAGUAAAAUGGAAGCUGAUUUUUUAGGAGAUAGCAUGAUGAUUCACAUUGAAAGAGAAAUUGCUGCAAACGUUGAUUCUGAGACUAUUAUUGAUGAUUUCAAGCUACUCAAAGAACGUAGAGCAUUGUUAUAAGGUAUUUUUAAGUUACACACUUUGAAAAUUUCAUGUUCAGCUUUAUGUUUAUUAUAACUUAAAUAUUUUAUAUACAUUAUGGUAUGAAUAUUUGAUCUAUAAAUUAUAAUUUAAUUUUGUGGCCACCCCAAACUUUAUAGUCUGGCUCCGCCACUGUUUUGUUAUGCUCUAUUUAACCAAGAUUUAGUUAUAACAAAAUUUUAGAUUAUUUCCGAUAGUUCAAUUUAUACUCUCACAAAAACCGAGAUGUUUUUGUGCAACUAUCAACUUAGAUCUCACUUAAUGGAGAGAAAGCCAUUUAAAUUAUACAGUAAUAAUGGUGAUAUUUAAUGAUGAAGAUAGUGGCAUGAAAUGCGGAAAAUUUCCAAAAUCCAUGAAACUUGUGAUGUUUAGAUUCAAUGGCCCAGUUUACAAAGCAGGUUAUUAGUGACUUAUUAAUAAUCACUUUGUUAAUUCUAUACUGUUGCAACACAGUACACUAUAUUAUUGGGGUGGUGAGCAAUAUUUUAUGGUAUUGAGUGUCUCUGAGAUGCAUAAUUGUGUCCCCACCUUAACAUAAAGUGAUUAUUGAUGUGAUGAAAAGAUAACAAACUUUAAAAAAAAGUACCAUAGAGAUGGGCAACGAAGUCUAAAAAAAAUGAAAAUUUGUAAAUUUUACAAAAAUUAAAGUCUCACUGUUCCUAAAUCCUAAUCCCAAUUAGUGAGAGAAAAAAAGCCAGCUGUUGCCAAUGUCAUUUGUUUCAUCGUUUUAUGAUAUAGUAACCAACACACAUGAUGGGCUACCCUUCAACUUUUUGUUUUUUCCUUAAUUUACUUUCUUUAUUUAUUCUGCUUUUCUUUUUUAAAAUAUUUUUAAUCUUUUCAAAUUUAUAAUUAUUUAUUGGUGAACACUCCGGUACCCUUGAGUUUAGAUGGGUACCGGUACCCUCAACCAAUCAAAUGCUAUAAUUUCAUGCCAUGUCACUUAUUUAUUUUAAUUUAUUUUAAAAUAAAUUAACAUUUAAUAAUAGUUUACACUAAAGGUACCGGUACCCAAUUUGAAUACAUGGGUACCAAAGAAUUUACCUUAUUUAUUUGAGUUUUUCUUUUAAAAUUUAAACCAUAUUCCUUCAACAAUCUUUUAGAAUCAUACUCUCUAAUUUUCUUGCGUGCCAUUUCUUAUUAAUUUAUUUCAUCAACAAGCUAAUCUAAUUUUCAAAUAAUUCAUUCAUUUUAACAUAUUCAUCAUCCACUAAUAAACAUGCAAUAAGCUCGCAUAAAAUUUGUCAAAAAUUUAACUUAAUAUAAUUUUUAAUGGGAAUGAAUACCCAAUUCAAAUUAGUUUUAAAGAACUUCACAAUUAAGAUCAGAAUUAAAGGCCUAUGAAUCAACAAUUAAAAAAAAAUUAGUGUUUUUCUUUUCUUUUUUAGGUUUGUCUUACGAUCAAUAAGACAAACUUCAUCAAUAAAAAAUAGGCUUAAAUAUGUUAUUGGUCCCUCUAAAUAUAGUAAAUUUUAUUUUUAGUCCUUCUAAAUAUUUCCUUCAAUAAAUGGUUCCUAUAAAAAUUUUCAUCCAUAAAAUUCGUCUCUAAUGCUAAAUGGAGUUAACAGCUACUGACGUGGUCGAACACCUGUAUUUUAAAUUCAUUUAACUUUAUUUUUUAUGAUUAUAAUAUACUAAUACAAAUUCUACGUGGUAUAUGCUUACAAAUAUAAUCGUUCACAGGGGCGGAUUCACAUAGAGGAGAGUGGGGGCUCAUGACCCCACAAAGUUUUUUUUUUUUUUUAAUAAUUACUAUUAAUUAUUUGUUCAGCCCCAUGUAACUCCAACAAACCCACUAACGUGUACUAUGUAACUACCCAAUCCUAUUUUAACUCUUCAAAUUCUUUUUCUUAAUUAUUACCAUUUAUUAUUUCUAUUUUUUUUAAUUGUUUUAACUUUUCAAAUUCAAUUAACGUGUACUAUAUAACUACCCAAUCCUACUUUAACUCUUCAAAUUCUUUUUCUUAAUUAUUACUAUUUACUAUAUCGAUUUUUUUUAAUUGUUUUAACUUUUCAAAUUCAAUUACAAUCUCCACUCAUUCUCUCUCUUAACUUUAUUCACAUUCUCUCACAAUUCUUACGGUUUACUCUCACAAUUCUUACGGUUUACUCUCACAUUUUGACAUAACACUUUUUUGUUUCUUCCUUUUCCAUUAUUUCAUUCAAGUGUUCAAGUUCAACAUCAAUUUAGUUUUGUGAGUCUGUGGCUUUGUCUAAUUGAGUUAUUUGCAAGUGAUAUAUAGAGGUAUGUUUUUUCUUUAAUAAUUGAACAUUUUCAAAAUAUGAAAACUCGUAGAGGACAAUUGUAAGUUUUUUUAUAUUUUAACUUUUUUUGUCGUUAUAUUAUGUAUUUUGGAACAAUUUGAAAUAUUUUUCUUUAGUCAAAAUAUAUCCAUUAUUUUUAAGCCCCCACCAUAGAAAAGUUCUGGAUCCGCCACUGAUCGUUCACCCCCAAUUUUUCAUUAACUUAUGUUUCUUCUUCAGUGAAUGUCGCCAACAUUCAUGGUUGUUUUCUUCAUCGCUGCCUGAAACUUAAAGGUGUUUCUUUUAUUCCAUGGGGUUUUCAAAGUCAAGCUCAUCUAAACAGGUUUAUUUUUCAUCUUCUUCUGUUAAAUCUCGAGCUGGUCGAUUAUGUGGUUGCAAGGGUCGAAUGGUCUUUUACCAAUGCAAGAAGGCACCCAAUAAAGGGAGACUAUUUUGGAGAUAUCCAUUUUGGAAUAACAAUAAGACUUGUGAUUUGUUUAUUUGGGAUGAAAAUAUUGGAGAAUCUAGAAAUCAUGAUGGGAUGUUGUUGAAGACAAAGGUUGAGUAUAUGGAAGCAACAAAAUAUUUGAAAGAGUUUUAUGAGCAUACAAAGAAGAAGAACAAAAGGCUGAAGACCAAACUCAAAGCAAAGGAAUUUUCUGGAAAAAUGAAAAUGUUGUGUCUUGCUAUCAUCACGAGGGAGAUUCAUAAUCUCCCCAAACUCUUUUACUGCUAGAGUUUCCUAUGCCUUUUUAGUUCAGAUUGAAUUAUUCUAUCAGUGAGGUAGAUAAUUGAGAAGAACAUCUUAACUAAUGAUGAAUACACCUUUCCUUGAGGGGCUACGGAGAAAGUUGGAUAGGUUAAGUUCUUAAAAAUAUUUAAAGAAUUCACAUUCUUUAAAAGCUCCCAAAUCCAGGGUGUGAAUUCUUAGAAGAGUUCGAUCGAAAAACUCUUGGAAAAAUCUCACUUCAUGUUGUUUGGUGGUGAAGAAAUUAGAAAAGGGGCUGGUGGAAAAUAUUAACCUUUUGGGAGACAUGAUGGUUUUGAAAUAAUAAUCUCACAUUCACAAUAUUUGGAAGAGAAUAUGCAAUGCAAAGAAGUCAAAGAUGAAUACCUAUUUAUAGUGUGCUUCCUAAUGAUUUGAUUGUGUAUUUUUGGCAAGCAAUCAAUGGAGAUUUUGUUGAUUCAAAAUUAAAUCAUGCAAGUUUUUUCCAUAUUGAGUGUGUCAAUCAAUUGGCUAAUGGCCUCAAUCGAUUGGUUAGUCAAAUCUUUCUGAAUUUUAAGCGUUCAUCAUCAAUGUUGGGAUUUGAUUGUCUUGGAACACACAUUUAGCUUGAAUUUGAUUUGAUCAAAAAACAUGAGUGCCAAGCUUUUCCAAUCGAGUGUCAUAUAGUGUUAAUCGAUUAGGCUUAUGUAAGUGAACCUCCUUAGUGCAUUUUGGGUCUUGUGCAGGAUUUGUUGCUUUUCUGCACCAUUAUUCAUCCUUAUUUGCACCCUUUUCUAUAAAACACUUAGAAACUUAUCUUUUUGGUUACUAAAUAUAAUUUAUUGAGAUGAGCAAAAUUAAAAAUAAUAUUUUAAAGGAUUAAUCAGAGUUUUUCGAUCAUUUCAAUCUUAAAAUACGGUACUAAAAAAUAGACCUUUUUGUAAUACAAUGUUAAUCGUAUUAAUAACUCGUUGGUGGGCGCUUUUUUUGGUGUUUAAUGAUAAAUAUUUCACUACGGUAUAGAUAACAACCGUAGUAAAAUAUUCCUGGAGUGAAAGGGUUUGAAUUCCAACACCAACAAUUUUUCAUUUAUUGGGACAAAAUGGGUAUAUCACCAUGGUUUUUUUAAUCAAUUGUGAUGUAAAGUGAAAUUAUUUCAUCACGGUUCAUUUUAUCAACCAUGGUGAAAUAUGUUACAUAUUUAUUUAAAAACGAAAUUAUAUUUUGCUCUAGUACAUAACAAUCAUCUCUCUCAAAAGAAAACCCUAACAUCUAUUUCACUCGUCUCUCUAAAAAGAAAACCAUAAUAUCUAUUUCACUCGUCUCUCUAAAAAAAAGUAACAUCUAUGUCACUCGUCUCUCUCAUAUGGAAACCCCAAACUUAUGCAGAAAACUCGUCUUCUUCAAUUCUUAGGAAAUGGCUACUUUACAGGUUCGUUUUCACAAUAGUUUAUGUUUCUAAAUCUUUUUAUCUAUUAUUGUUUAUGUUUCAAUAGCCCGUUUCAUAAUGUUUGA